UGCUACUCCAUUGACUGGUGACUUCUAUUCAAACGUCUGAUAUUGAAUAUUACUCUGUGAAUACACAAUUCCUGUCUUAAUAGAUAACCUGUGUUGUUAUGGAUGAUCUCUGAUAAUCUGCGAAGGAACGUGUUUUCUUUAGCAUCGAGUUAAUUUUCCUCAACAAUAUACUCUAGAUUCUCCCUCAGAAGAACCUUCCUUCCUUCGUCAGUUUUGAUUAGCAUCAGGAUUUUGGGAAAUGCAUGUUGCUUAACGGUACUAUAUGGAACAUUACCAAUAGCAACUCUUAAGUGUAUGAGACAACAGUGAAUUAUUGUAUGCAUAUAUAACAAAUUUAAACUACAAGUAAAAUUUGCUUUGAAUGUUAGAUUCAUACAUCAGCAGUGAAAUCUGGUUGUAGUCCUUCAAGAUAUUGAACUUCAUUUUUAACAGAUUUAUUGAGUAAUUAUUUGUAAACAAUUGUGUGUUAAGAGUUGUGAAUUGAACACAUUGUCAUUACAGAGCAGGACAGGAAAAAAGGCUAAAAUGAAUCCAGGACAUUCUUUAGAAUUUCCUUUGAAAAGUGAAACU